rnacentral:rRNA from 1 species
GUAGUCAUAUGCUUGUCUCAAAGAUUAAGCCAUGCAUGUCUAAGUAUAAGCAAUAUAUACAGUGAAACUGCGAAUGGCUCAUUAAAUCAGUUAUCGUUUAUUUGAUAGUACCUUACUACUUGGAUAACCGUGGUAAUUCUAGAGCUAAUACAUGCUAAAAAUCCCGACCUCUGGAGGGGAUGUAUUUAUUAGAUAAAAAACCAAUGUCUUCGGACUCCUUGGUGAUUCAUGAUAACUUUACGAAUCGCAUGGCCUUGCGCCGGCGAUGGUUCAUUCAAAUUUCUGCCCUAUCAACUUUCGAUGGUAGGAUAGUGGCCUACCAUGGUUUCAACGGGUAACGGGGAAU